UCUGUGGGUUUCAGAGAGACUGGUGUCCCUUUUCUACAAAGCUCCUUCAAUUCCUGUAGAAUGUGGUGGUCGAGAGUGUGGACUCUGACCUUGGGCACAAAUCCUGGCUCUGCUGCUCCUGGCCCAUGACCUUGGGCAACUGACCUCUCUAUGAGCCUGUUUCCUCGUUUGGCAGAUGGACACGGUGCCUUAUAUGCAAAAGACUGCAAGCUUUCCAUUUACACAGACCACGACUUCUCAGACAGUCAUACACGCUGAUUGCUGGGGAAUUUGUUAAAUGCUGGCUCUGACGCAGUACGUCUGGGGCAGUGCCUGGGGUUCUGCAUUUCAGACAAGCUCCUGGGGACACCGAGGCUCCAAGUUUGGGGACCGCAUCUUGAGUAGUCGAGGCUUAGCCUAGAUCAGUGGUUGGCAAACUUUAGCCCGUGGGCCUGCCAUCUUCUUUUGUACAUCAAGUUCUAUUGGAACAUGGCCACACGCUUAUUUACAUAUUGUCUAUGACGUUUUUCAUGCUACAGUGAGAGAGUUGGGCAGUUGUGACAGAGGCUAUGUGGCAUGCAAAGCUGAACAUAUUUACUAUCUGGCCCUUUACAGCAUGAGUUUGCCAACCCCUGAAGUGAUGUUGAAAGAAUGAAACGAGAAGAUGGAUUUGAGGCCACUUGGCCCAGAAAAAGGGCUGGGUUCACAGCACUGGUCAUGGAGCUGGCUCAGUAGGCAUCUAUGUCUUCCUUACCCAGGAAGGUCCCUCAGCUAAAACUGAGCACGGGAGAUGGAGGACAGGCUAGGGAAGAAGUCACAGAAAUAAAAAGGUGCAAGAGAAAGUCACUCUGGAAAUCCCUCCCCUUCCUGGGCCUCGCUUCACCCUCCCUGCCUCAGCUUCUGCUGGAUGCGCCUGGUGAAAUUGGGGGCUCUGGGUUCCCCAAGGAGUUGGCACAGCCCCUAAGGCUUCUUGCAGCCUCCCGCAGCCUCCCUGGCAACCCCUCAACCUCUGACAACGAGGCCCAGCAGUCGCCCUUGCCAUCCCUGCUCACGGAAGCUCAUCAGAGGAGCACCACCGGGGUGCAUCCAAUUCCGCCGGCUCCUCAUCGAAAUGAGAAAUCUGUGGUCCGGGCAGCCAUGGAGCGCUGAUAACACUUGUGCAGAUCCAGGAUCCUGAACUUCAAAGUAUCAUCUGGAUUGAACAGCCAGUACAAGACCCUCGGUCCUACAAUCUGCGAGAAAUCAAAUUCUGCCAGCAAGCAAUUCACAGACGUGGAAACUGAGAAUCAGAGAGGAAUGAACUUUGCCUAAGGUCACCCAAAGAAUUCAUGGCAAGGCUGGGAUUCCCAAGCCUGGAGCUCCUGAGCUAUUUCCCCUGCUUUGGCACCAUCUGAAACAUCUGUGAAAUGGGCACAAUCAAAAGUGGCUAUCUGUGAAUAAAGUCAUUGUCCCAUCCAA